rnacentral:pre_miRNA from 1 species
UCAUGAGCUGUUGGAUUCGGGGCCGUAACACUGUCUGAGAGGGUUACAUUUCUCACAGUGAACCGGUCUCUUUUUCAGCUGCUUCCUUGCU